rnacentral:rRNA from 1 species
ACGGGUGAGUAACGCGUAAUCAACCUGCCCUUCAGAGGGGGACAACAGUUGGAAACGACUGCUAAUACCGCAUACGAUCUGACCUCGGCAUCGAGGAUAGAUGAAAGGUGGCCUCUAUUUAUAAGCUAUCACUGAAGGAGGGGAUUGCGUCUGAUUAGCUAGUUGGAGGGGUAACGGCCCACCAAGGCGAUGAUCAGUAGCCGGUCUGAGAGGAUGAACGGCCACAUUGGGACUGAGACACGGCCCAGACUCCUACGGGAGGCAGCAGUGGGGAAUAUUGCACAAUGGGCGCAAGCCUGAUGCAGCAACGCCGCGUGAAGGAUGAAGGCCUUCGGGUUGUAAACUUCUGUCCUAGGGGAAGAAACAAAUGACAUUACCCUUGGAGGAAGCCCCGGCUAACUACGUGCCAGCAGCCGCGGUAAUACGUAGGUGGCAAGCGUUGUCCGGAAUUAUUGGGCGUAAAGCGCGCGCAGGCGGAUUGGUCAGUCUGUCUUAAAAGUUCGGGGCUUAACCCCGUGAUGGGAUGGAAACUGCCAAUCUAGAGUAUCGGAGAGGAAAGUGGAAUUCCUAGUGUAGCGGUGAAAUGCGUAGAUAUUAGGAAGAACACCAGUGGCGAAGGCGACUUUCUGGACGAAAACUGACGCUGAGGCGCGAAAGCCAGGGGAGCGAACGGGAUUAGAUACCCCGGUAGUCCUGGCCCGUAAAC